rnacentral:rRNA from 1 species
UACGAAGGCAGCAGUGGGGAAUAUUGCACAAUGGGCGCAAGCCUGAUGCAGCCAUGCCGCGUGUAUGAAAAAGGCCUUCGGGUUGUAAAGUACUUUCAGUCGUGAGGAAGGUGUUAAGGUUAAUAACCUUAGCAAUUGACGUUAGCGACAGAAGAAGCACCGGCUAACUCCGUGCCAGCAGCCGCGGUAAUACGGAGGGUGCGAGCGUUAAUCGGAAUUACUGGGCGUAAAGGGCACGCAGGCGGUUAAUUAAGUUGGAUGUGAAAUCCCCGGGCUUAACCUGGGAAUGGCAUUCAAGACUGGUUAGCUAGAGUCUUGUAGAGGGGGUAGAAUUCCAUGUGUAGCGGUGAAAUGCGUAGAGAUGUGGAGGAAUACCGGUGGCGAAGGCGGCCCCUGGACAAGACUGACGCUCAUGUGCGAAAGCGUGGGGAGCAAACG